UUUCAGUAAGCGCUGAGCUCCCCUGCCGGUCUCUCACCUCGUACGAAGCAGAGAGAGAGAAAAGAAAAAGACUAAGAUUUUUAGAAAGCCGCGAAGAUGAGGAAGAUCGCUUUGUGCAUCCUUGGCUUGGUCUUGGUCGCGAGUCUGGUCCAGGCACAGGGAGGCACCACCGAGUCUUGCGAGGACUAUGAAGACAGCAAAUGCAUCGAAGAAGACUCGAUCUGCGGGACGCCUGAAAGGACCGACCUCUGCAAGGAAGGUUUCAAGUGCUGCAUUCCCAUGCAGGACAGGAAAGUGAAGGGGAAGAAGGGUGGGGAGUAAGAGGAAGAGGAGAAGGAAGAAGAGGAGGAGGAGGAGGUGAUGGGGAGGUAAUAAAGGCAUUGGCACCAGAGCUCGGCUAAAUUAGAGAAAUUUAUCGGCUAGAUUAGAGAAAAUGAUGAAAUGGUGUCUAACAGUACCUGCAUGUUCAUACUUACAUCUUUACUGAGAUCUAGACGUCCCUCCUCCCAUAAACGCACUUAAAUACACACACACAUACGCAUAUAUAUUUAUGUGCAUGUAUAUAUAUGUAUAUGUAUAU